UCUCGUUAACGUUAACUCGUCAACAAGUGUUUGGGCAGUGGGAGCUUGGGAUCAUUCAAGAAGUUUGUGCUGCAGUUGCUUUCAGUAAAGCAAGAUUCGUAUAGAAAAGCGAAAUAGUUCAUGAAUAAUUUUACGAAAAGAAGCUGCAAAAUGAUUCUAUGACACACUUUGACAUGAGUAUCUGCAAUUCCAGUGAACCAGUCAGUUCACCAGCAACAGCUUCUAGUCCUGGCAGAAAGCUAGAAAACAAUGUAAGAAGAAACAUCAACAAUUUAUCAUUUCAGGAGAUCACAACAGAUCUGCACAUCACACAGAGAAGUUUGCAGUCAGCAAACCUAAUUACUAAGUAAUCUUAUUUCCAAAGCCGAAAUGAAACCCUUGAAGAUUGUUUCGGGGCUGUUGUCACUUUGUCCAACAGCAUCCUGGAAGAACUGCUACUUUGCAUCACCACAAUUUAAAACAUUUCAGCCACAGAGUUCCAGCACAGCAUAUCCUUUACAGAUGUAAGCUAACUACAUGUGAUAUGAAUUCACACUUCACAGAUACAGGUUGUAGAUUGGCUCUAGUACUGCUACUCAUUCACCUUAGGGGCCUUAGGGAUUAAUAAUUCAUCUUCCGAGUGCCUAAGGAAUAUAUUGGAUAUCACUAGGUGGCUAAAAUUAUGUCUGCUAGAUGGCGCGAGUGUCUUCGUUACUCAAGACGAAAUUUCGCUUUUUCUUAAAACACUGAUUGGAAGCCACAUGUUGAAAACGUAUCGUUGGAUUGGAUACUUAAUACGGCGUAAUUUUCUUUCUUGACAUUUUUAUUCGUAAUAAUGGUAUUUAUCUGGUAUCAGCCUAUAAUUUCUACAUGGCAAUUUCAUCUGAUCAUGUGGCCUGAGCAGCUGAACAUUUUGUCAAAAUGUCUCUUUUUCCUGUACCAGCUUCAUGUUUGUCAGAAACACUUCAGAACAAUUCAGGAUUAACACCCUGGUGGAGUUUGAGCUUCUUUGUUGCUGCCCAACUUACACAUGGAUUUGACGCAGCCAGCUGAGGGCUCUAAUUCUUGUUGAACAUAUAUGUUCGUGUAGUUGCUGUCCGAUGUGGCACGUUGUUGCAGCCUAUGCUGGUGAAAGAUCUUUCUACAUAAAGUUCAAUUGGCCGUUCCUUGGUGCUGGUGUCGUGUUACCGAAGUUGCAUCAUAUUUUGUUAAAUUGUCAUCGUGACUAUUGCAGUUUACCGUUUAUAAGUUCAGAAGCAACAAAAACAAAUAUGGGAUGUUUAUGUCAACAAAUAAUAAACAUGUUUCCGGGGUUGGGAAAGGAAAGUGGAGGAUGUUGGAGGGGGAGGGAGGAUAUUUAAAGUUUGGAUAAAAAUUCAGUUAAUCUAUUACCAUACAAAUGUUGCCCUACCAAUUAAUCUCCAAACCCCACAAACAUAUACCUUCCAAUCCUUCAAACCCCGAAAACAUACACCUACUAACCCCUAA